rnacentral:lncRNA from 1 species
GCCACUACUGUUUCGCCGACACACGGUCCUCACCACCUCCAUCUUGCAUAACCUUGUUGAAGAAAAAAUUAACCUUAAUCUAUUUACCCCGAAAAUAGAGACGGGUUUUGAAAACUUAAAAAGACAAAUGAACACAUUUGUCACCCAUUUUCUCCCAAAAUCGUACCCUGAAAAGCUAUUACCGUUUCAUCGACACACGGUCCUCACCACCUCCAGCCUGCAUCACCUCGUUGAAGAAAAAAUCAAACUUAAUCUAUUUACCCCGAAAAUAGAGACCGGGUUUUGAAAACUUAAAAAAAAAAAUGAACACAUUUGUCACCCAUUUUCUCCCAAAAUCGUACCCUGAAAAGCUAUUACCGUUUCAUCGACACACGGUCCUCACCACCUCCAGCCUGCAUCACCUCGUUGAAGAAAAAAUCAAACUUAAUCUAUUUACCCCGAAAAUAGAGACCGGGUUUUGAAAACUUAAAUAGAAAAAUGAACACAUUUGUCACCCAUUUUCUCCCAAAAUCGUACCCUGAAAAGCUAUUACCGUUUCAUCGACACACGGUCCUCACCACCUCCAGCCUGCAUCACCUCGUUGAAGAAAAAAUCAAACUUAAUCUAUUUACCCCGAAAAUAGAGACCGGGUUUUGAAAACUUAAAAAGACAAAUGAACACAUUUGUCACCCAUUUUCUCCCAAAAUUGUACCCUGGAAAGCCACUGUCGUUUCGCUGACACACAAUCCUCACCACCUCUGGCCUGCAUCACCCCGUUGAAGAAGAAAUCAACCUCAAUUUAUUUACCCCUAAAACAAAGACCGGGUUUUGAAAACACCUCCGUCACAAAUUAAUUCGAAUUUGUAGAUCGAUAAAAAGAUGUGAGCUGCAAACUUCCAGCAACCAUGAAGUCUACACCAAAAUCGUCAUCUGCCUAUGAACACAUCAUUUAUAUGCAUCGCUUGAGAGUAAGCAAUUGUUGUGGUUGUUGAUAUGUUUUUGUAAGGGUUUUAUAUUUGUGUUCAACGAAAUGAAUUCUUCGUCUCCGUCAAUGACAUUUUUUGAUUUUGACAUGGAUUUGUUUUGGUUAUCAUGCCUUUGAUUUUGUAAGGGUUUUACGGUUGCUACUAUUUUCGAUGUAUUGUAUACAAGUCACCAAUUUGAGCUUUAUAUUUGGAGAUUAAAAAUAUUGGUGAGAAUUAUAUUCUCAUUUUUGGGGUUUUCCCUACAAGAAUCUAAUUUAGCCAUAUUUUGCUUUGUCUUUUUGGGGUUUUCCUUGCUGGCAUCUAAAAAUUAGUGAGAAUUAUACCAAUUUGAGCUUGUAUUUUGCUUGUUCGUUUAAUUCGUGCCACAAUAGGAAAAAUUUUGACAUUAUUUUUAUGGUUUAAUUAUAUGUUAGAAUGGUUGGAAGAAUUCUGAAAUUUACCAUAGUUGUAGAGGCAAAAGGCACUUUUUUUUUUUUUUUAAAUCUAAUGCCCGUUUUGUAAGAAUGGAUUUUAGAAGUGCUUUGAGGUCGAAAAGCUGACUGCUAAUAAAGGGACAUUAAUCACAUGUUGCAGUAAUAAAUGCGGCUAUUUGGAUUGGGUUGUAGAAGGAUAGUCAAGCGGUGAAUCCAAUAACGCUGGCUCUACCUUGGUUACACUUGUGACCAAAGAAGCAGUUGAAGAUAUGUUCCACAUGUUCAAAUCUCAGGUUCGACUAACUGAAGAAGCAGACAUCGAGAUAUCUGUGAAUGUGAAGAUCUUUAGGGAAACAGGCAGUGCAGAAGGGAUUGCAAAAGGAAAGGGAUCGGUUUGUUUUGUAGUUAAUUCGUUGAAAGUGUUAUAUGCUAACUUAUCUAAAGGUUUUAGUUAUCUCCCUUUCCCUUUUUUUUUUGGGGGGUAUCAACGAAGUAUGUAGUUGGGAGUGGAUUAUGGAUAAAAACAAUGUCACUUUUAUCAUUUUCUUAUGCUAAUGUCANNN